ACGAACGCUGGCGGCGUGCUUAACACAUGCAAGUCGAACGGUGAAGCGCCUUCCUUUUUGGUGGGUGUGGAUGAGUGGCGAACGGGUGAGUAACACGUGAGUAACCUGCCCCCUUCUUCUGGAUAACCGCAUGAAAGUGUGGCUAAUACGGGAUAUUCUGGGUCUGUCGCAUGAUGGGUCUGGGAAAGAUAUUGUUUCGGUGGGGGAUGGGCUCGCGGCCUAUCAGCUUGUUGGUGGGGUGAUGGCCUACCAAGGCGGUGACGGGUAGCCGGCCUGAGAGGGUGGACGGUCACACUGGGACUGAGGCACGGCCCAGACUCCUACGGGAGGCAGCAGUGGGGAAUAUUGCACAAUGGGCGAAAGCCUGAUGCAGCGACGCCGCGUGAGGGAUGGAGGCCUUCGGGUUGUGAACCUCUUUCGCCAGUGAAGCAGGCCUGCCUCGUUUGUGGGUGGGUUGACGGUAGCUGGAUAAGAAGCGCCGGCUAACUACGUG
rnacentral:rRNA from 1 species